rnacentral:tRNA from 1 species
GAUCCUGUGGCUCAGUGGUAGAAGCUUUGCUUCAUGAGUAAGAGGUUGUGAGUUCAAGCCCUGGUCAGGAUCU